GACGAACGCUGGCGGCGCGCCUAACACAUGCAAGUCGAACGAGCGAGAGAGAGCUUGCUUUCUCGAGCGAGUGGCGAACGGGUGAGUAACGCGUGAGGAACCUGCCUCAAAGAGGGGGACAACAGUUGGAAACGACUGCUAAUACCGCAUGACGCUUCUUAGGGGCAUCCCUGAGAAGUCAAAGCUUUAUGUGCUGAAAGAUGGCCUCGCGUCUGAUUAGCUAGUUGGUGGGGUAACGGCCCACCAAGGCGACGAUCAGUAGCCGGUCUGAGAGGAUGAACGGCCACAUUGGGACUGAGAUACGGCCCAG
rnacentral:rRNA from 1 species